rnacentral:lncRNA from 1 species
AAUUACAUGAUGGCUUAAAUAGCCGGAAGCACACGGCUAAAACGCAGCCACUCACCCACUAACUCCAUGCACACACACGCACUGGCCACAACUAUCUGACCCGAUUACUACUCAACUAACCCACGUUUAGUUUGAGUCACUUCCAAGUUUCUGCAGAUCAACUAGGAGUUCACGCAGCCGGCGCAUGGCACAACUGAUUUUGCCCGCUUCUUUCUCCACCUCAUUCUGCUACACAACUCGUCCGCUUGGACUCCACAGAACUAGACGCAUGCAGCUGGCCUAUCCAUGCAAACUACUAACAAACUCAACAGGACACACUACUAACUUGCAUAUACACACAUGAUCUCUUCUCUACGUGAGUACAUGCCCACAGCCAGGUAGGUUGGACGUGACAACAUGCAUGACACUGCUAAAUAAACAUGAUGAAAACCUAGACAACAAGGUAAACUCUAUCAAUCACCCCCUUAACCUUGUUGUCGUUUAUUCGAACACCUCCAUGUCGAUCUUCAAAGCAGCCCCGGCUCGUCGUCGGCCGUCGCGGCAGCAAGGAGCGCCCGCUGCUUCCUUGGCUCGAUGCAGUCCUUGGAGUAAUGCCCGUACUCUUGACAGUUGUAGCAACGCACCUUGCAUAUGUCGAAGUUGCCCUUCUUCUUGCCGGCGCCGCUGCGGUGGCGAGCAAGCCACUCCUCCUCCAUGAGGAGCAGGCGACUCCCACCACCCUGGUCGUAGUUGUUGGCACCCUCGUCCAAGUCGCUCCGGUCCUCCGCCGUUUUGAGCCUUCCCACAAGCUCUUCCAUGGACAUGGUUUUAAGAUCAAGAAGUUGUUCAAUGGCAAUGGCUACCUGGGUAUACUUGGACGACACGAUGCGGAGAAGCUUCUUCACGACAUUCACCUUGUCGAGGUUCUCGCCGAGCGUGCGCAGCUUGUUGGUGAUCCUGUUCAUGCGCAUGGCGAGCUCAUCGAGGGUCUCGCCGCUCCUCAUGCGGAUGGCAUCAAACUCCUUGAGGAGAGUCUGUGCCUUGGCCUCACGGACGCGGGCAUCGCCGACCCGCAUGAUCUUGAUGGCAUCCCAUGCCUCCUUUGCCGUCGCCUUCACGGCAAGCGUGGAGUGCAUCUCCUCCGGCACGGCUCGCAAAAUUGCCGCAAGCGCCGCCUUGUCCUGGCUGAAGCUCCCGCCUCCCUCGAUGGCGUCCCACACGCGUUGGACCUCCAUGUUUACCUUCAUGAUCAGCGACUGCACACAACUUGUGCCCUUUUCUCUGUGUGUGUUCUUCUACCUUUGUGUGUGAGAGUCGUCUUCUUCCUCGGGCUGUGCCAACAUUUGGUAUCAGAGCCAUGGUGACUGAAGGUUCGUGCACGCCGCGUCAGGCUCCGGCCUCGGUCACCAUGGCUCUGAUACCAAAUGUUGGCACAGCCCGAGGAAGAAGAAGACUCUCACACACAAAGAGAAAAGGGCACAAGUUGUGUGCGGUGCCAAGCCUCUGUGUGUGUUCUUCUACCUUUGUGUGUGAGAGUCUUCUUCUUCCUCGGGCUGUGCCAACAUUUGGUAUCAGAGCCAUGGCGACUGAAGGUUCACACACUCCAUCGCCGGGUCACCGCCGUGUGUCGGCCUCGCCGGUGGUGCGCCGAGGCCGGAGCCCGAUGCGGCAUGGCUGCCGCGAGGUGGUGGUGCAGCAGGAGGUCGUCAACCAGGCCAGCAGCACCGUCGUCAUGCGCCGGCUGCGUGAACUCCUAGUUGAUCUGCAGAAACUUGGAAGUGACUCAAACUAAACGUGGGUUAGUUGAGUAGUAACCGGGUCAGACAGUUGUGGCCUGUGCGUGGAGUGCAUCUCCUCCGGCACGGCUGCAGAAUUGCCGCAAGCGCCGCCCUGUCCUGGCUGAAGCUCCCGCCUCCCUUGAUGGUGUCCCACACGCGUUGGGCCUCCAUGCUCACCUUCAUGAUCAGCGACCACUCGAAGUAGUUCGUCGCCGUCUGCGGCGGGUAGACGACGGUGCUGCUGGCCUGGUGGACGACCUCCUGCUGCACCACCACCUCGCGACAGCCACGCCGCGUCGGGCUCUGGCCUCGGCGCACCACCGGCGAGGCCGAGACACGGCGGCGACCCGGCGAUGGAGUGCGCGAACCUUCAGUCACCAUGGCUCUGAAUACCAAAUGUUGGCACAGCCCGAGGAAGAAGAAGACUCUCACACACAAAGGUAGAAGAACACACAGAGGCUUGGCACCGCACACAACUUGUGCCCUUUUCUCUUGUAUUCUCACACUUGCAAUGCAAUUACAUGAUGGCUUAAAUAGCCGGAAGCACACGGCUAAAACGCAACCACUCACCCACUAACUCCAUCCACACACAUGCACAGGCCACAACUGUCUGACUCGGUUCCUACUCAACUAACCCACGUUUAGUUUGAGUCACUUCCAAGUUUCUGCAGAUCAACUAGGAGUUCACGCAGCCGGCGCAUGCUGUUGGGGAACGUAGCAGAAAUUCAAAAUUUUCUACGCAUUACCAAGAUCAAUCUAUGGAGUAAUCUAGCAACGAGGGGAAGGGGAGUGCAUCUACAUACCCUUGUAGAUCGCUAAACGGAAGCGUUACAAGAACGCAGAUGAAGGAGUCGUACUCGUAGCGAUUCAGAUCACGGUUGAUUCCGAUCUAAGCGCCGAACAACGGCGCCUCCGUCCAACAGCAGCACGACGGCGUCUCCCGUGCCUUGAUCCAGCAAGGGAAGAGGGAGAGGUUGGGGAAGACUCCGUCCAACAGCAGCACGACAGCGUGGUGGUGGUGGAGGAGCGUGGCACUCCAGCAGGGCUUCGCCAAGCACUACGAGAGAUGAGGAGGGAGAGAGGUAGGGCUGCGCCUUGGAGAGAAUAACUCAUACGUUGGGCUGCCCCUAGACCUCAACUAUAUAUCGGGGGGAGGAAAGGGGUUGCGCCCCUCUAGGGUUCCCACCCCAAGGGAUGCGGAAGCCCCUAGAUCCCAUCUAGGGUGGCGGCCAAAGGAGGAGAGGGGGAGGCGCACUUGGGGUGGGCCUUAGGGCCCAUCUGCCCUAGGGUUUGCCCCCCUCUUCUCUUGAGGCGCCUUGGGCCUUGGUGGGGCGGCGCCCCAGCCCACCUAGGGGCUGGUCCCUUCCCACUAUUGGCCCACGCAAGCCUCUGGGGCUGGUGGCCCCUCCCGGUGGACCCCCGGACCCUUCCGGUGGUCCCGGUACAUUACCGGUGAUGCCCGGAACACUUCCGGUGACCAAAACCUCACUUCCUAUAUAUAAAUCUUUACCUCCGGACCAUUCCAGAACUCCUCAUGACGUCCAGGAUCUCAUCCGGGACUCCAAACAACAUUCGGUAACCACGUAUAUCUAUUCCCUAUAACCCUAGCGUCAUCGAACCUUAAGUGUGUAGACCCUACGGGUUCGGGAACCAUGCAGACAUGACCGAGACAACUCUCCGGCCAAUAACCAACAACGGGAUCUGGAUACCCAUGUUGGCUCCCACAUGUUCCAUGAUGAUCUCAUCGGAUGAACCACGAUGUCAAGGAUUCAAUCAAUCCCGUAUACAAUUCCCUUUGUCUACUGGUAUGAUACUUACCCGAGAUUCGAUCGUCGGUAUCCCGAUACCUUGUUCAAUCUCGUUACCGGCAAGUCUCUUUACUCAUUCCGUAACACAUCAUCCCGUGAUCAACUCCUUGAUCACAUUGUGCACAUUAUGAUGAUGUCCUACCGAGUGGGCCCAGAGAUACCUCUCCGUCACACGGAGUGACAAAUCCCAGUGUCGAUUCGUGCCAACCCAACAGACACUUUCGGAGAUACCCGUAGUGCACCUUUAUAGCCACCCAGUUACGUUGUGACGUUUGGUGCACCCAAAGUACUCCUACGGUAUCAGGGAGUUACACAAUCUCAUGGUCUAAGGAAAUGAUACUUGACAUUAGAAAAGCUUUAGCAUACAAACUACAUGAUCUUGUGCUAGGCUUAGGAUUGGGUCUUGUCCAUCACAUCAUUCUCCUAAUGAUGUGAUCCCGUUAUCAUUGACAUACAAUGUCCAUGGUCAGGAAACCAUGACCAUCUGUUGAUCAACGAGCUAGUCAACUAGAGGCUCACUAGGGACAUGUUGUGGUCUGUGUAUUCACACAUGUAUUGCGGUUUCCGGUCAAUACAAUUAUAGCAUGAAUAAUAGACAAUUAUCAUGAACAAGGAAAUACAAUAAUAACCAUUUUAUUAUUGCCUCUAGGGCAUAUUUCCAACAGUCUCCCACUUGCACUAGAGUCAAUAAUCUAGUUCACAUCACUAUGUGAUUGUAAUGAAUCAACACCCAUGGGGUUUGAUCAUAUCUCACUUGUGAGAGAGGUUAUUAGUCAACGGAUCUGAACCUUUCAGAUCCGUGUGUGUUUUGCAAAUCUCUGUGUCAUCUUCUAGAUGCAGCUACCACGCUUUAUUUGGAACUAUUCCAAAUAACUGUUCUAUUAUACGAAUCCGGUUUACUACUCAGAAUAAUCCGGAUUAGUGUCAAAGUUUGCAUCGGCGUAACCCUUUACAACGAACUCUUUUACCACCUCCAUAAUCAAGAAAAUUCCUUAGUCCACUAGUUACUAAGGAUAAGUUUGACCGCUGUCCUCUGAUCCAUUUCUGGAUCACUCUUAUACCCCUUGACUGACUCAUGGCAAGGCACACGUCCGGUGCAGUACACAGCAUAGCAUACUAUAGAGCUUACGUCUGAAGCAUAGGGGACGACCUUCGUCCUUUCUCUCUCUUCUGCCAUGGUCAUGUCUUGAGUCUUACUCAAUAUUUUCACCUUAUAACACAACCAAGAACUUCUUUCUCGAUCUAUUUUGAACUCAUUCAAAAUCUUGUCACGGUAUGUAUUUAUUUGAAAGUAUUAUUAAGCGUUUUUGAUCUAUCCUUAUAGAUCUUGAUGCUCAAUGUUCAAGUAGCUUAAUCCAGGUUUUCCAUUGAAAAACACUUUUCAUAACCCUAUAUGUUGUCCAGAAAUUCUACAUCAUUUCUGAUCAACAAUAUGUUAAUAACAUAUACUCAUCAGAAAUUCUAUAGUGCUCCCACUCACUUCUUUGGAAAUACAAGUUUCUCAUAAACUUUGUAUAAACCCAAAAUCUUUGAUUAUCUCAUCAAAGCGUAUAUUCCAACUCCGAGAUGCUUACUCCAGUCCUUAGAAGGAUUGAUGGAGCUUUGCAUACUUGUUAGCAUCUUUUAGGAUUGACAAAACAUUUUUGUUGUAUCACAUACAACCUUUCCUCAAGAAUAUCAUCGAGGAAACAAUGAUUUGACAUCCUAUCUGCAAGAUUUCAUAAAUCAUGCAGUAACUGCUAAUAUAAUUCCAACAAACUCUUUAGCAUUGCUACGAGUGAGAAAAUCUCAUCGCAGUCAAAUCCUUGAACUUGUCGGAGAACAUCUUAACGACAAGUCGAGCUUUCUUAAUGGUGACACUUACCAUCAUUGUCCGUCUUCCUUUUAAAAUCCAUCUGUACUCAACAGCCUUACGACCAUCGAGUAGUUCUGCCAAAGUCUACACUUUGUUUUCAUACAUGGAUCCUCUCUCGGAUUUUAUGGCCUCGAGCCAUUCAUCGGAAUCCGGGCCCACCAUCGCUUCUCCAUAGCUCGUAGGUUCAUUGUUGUCUAGCAACAUGACCUCCAAGACGGGAUUACGUACCACUCUGAAGCAGUACGCAUCCUUGUCGACCUACGAGGUUUGGUAGUGACUUGAUCCGAAGUUUCAUGAUCACUAUCAUAAGCUUCUACUUCAAUUGGUGUAGGUGCCAUAGGAAAAACUUCCUGUGCCCUGCUACACACUAGUUGAAGUGAUGGUUCAACAACCUCAUCAAGUCUCCACCAUCCUCCCACUCAAUUCUUUCAAGAGAAACCUUUCCUCGAGAAAGGACCCGUUUCUAGAAACAAUCACUUUUGCUUCCGGAUCUGAAAUAGGAGGUAUACCCAACUGUUUUGGGUGUCCUAUGAAGAUGUAUUUAUCCACUUUGGGUUCGAGCUGAUCAGGAUGAAACUUUUUUCACAUAAGCGUCGCAGCCCCGAACUUUCAAGAAACGACAGCUUAGGUUUCUCUAAACCAUAGUUCAUACGGUGUCAUCUCAACGGAAUUACGUGGUUCCCUAUUUAAAGUGAAUGCGGUUGUCUCUAAUACCUAACCCAUGAACAAUAGUGGUAAUUCGAUAAGAGACGUCAUGGCAUGCACCAUAUCCAAUAGGGUGCAACUAUGACGUUCGGACACACCAUCAUACUACGGUGUUCCAGGCGGUGUUAGUUGUGAAACAAUUUCCACAAUGUCUUAAUUGUGUACCAAACUCGCAACUCAGAUAUUCAUCUCUAUGAUCAUAUCAUAGACAUUUUAUCCUCUUGUCACGAAGAUCUUCAACUUCACUCUGAAAUUACUUGAACCUUUCAAUAAUUCAGACUUGUGUUUCAUCAAGUAAAUAUACUCAGCAUCUACUCAAAUCAUCUGUGAAGUAAGAACAUAACGAUAUCCACUGCGUGCCUCGGCACUCAUUGGACAGCACACAUCAAAAUGCAUUACUUCCAACAAGUUGCUUUCUUGUUCCAUCUUACUGAAACGAGGCUUUUCAGUCAUCUUGCCCAUGUGGUAUAAUUUGCAUGUCUCAAGUGAAUUAGAAUCAAGUGAGUCCAAACGAUCCAUCUGCAUGGAGUUUCUUCAUGCGCACAUACCAAUAGACAUGGUUCGCAUGUCUCAAACUUUUCAAAAAAAACGAGUAGUCCAAAGAUCCAUCAACAUGGAGCUUCUUCAUGCGUUUUAUACCAAUAUGACUCAAAUGGCAGUGCCACAAGUAGGUGGUACUAUCAUUACUAUCUUAUAUCUUUUGGCAUGAACAUGUGUAUCACUACGAUCGAGAUUCAAUAAACCAUUCAUUUUAGGUGCAAGACCAUUGAAGGUAUUAUUCAAAUAAACAGAGUAACCAUUAUUCUUCUUAAAUGAAUAACCGUAUCGCGAUAGACAUAAUCCAAUCAUGUCUAUGCUCAACGCAAACACCAAAUAACAAUUAUUUAGGUUUAACACCAAUCUCGAUGGUAGAGGGAGCAGGCAAUGCUUGAUCACAUCAACCUUUGGAAACACUUCCAACACACAUCGUUAUCUCACCUUUAGCUAGUCUCCAUUUAUUCCAUAGCUCUUUUAUUUCGAGUUACUAACACUUAGCAACUGAACCGGUAUCUAAUACCCUGGUGCUACUAGGAGUACAAGUAAAGUACACAUUUAAUAUAAUGUAUAUCCAAUAUACUUCUGUCAACCCUGCCAGCCUUCUCAUCUACCAAGUAUCUAGGGUAGUUAUGCUUCAGUGACCGUUCCCUCAUUACAUAAGCACUUAGUCUCGGGUUUGGGUUCAACCUUGGGUUUCUUCACUAGAGCAGCAACUGAUUUGCCAUUUCAUGAAGUAUCCCUCCUUGCCCUUCUUGAAACUAGUGGUUUCACUAACCAUCAACAAUUGAUGCUCCUUCUUGAUUUCUACUUUCGCAGCGUCAAACAUCGCGAAUAUUUCAAGGAUCAUCAUAUCUAUCCCUAAUAUAUUAUAGUUCAUCACGAAGCUCCAGCAGCUUGGUGGCAAUGACUUUGGAGAAACAUCACUAUCUCAUCCGGAAGAUUAACUCCCACUCGAUUCAAGUGAUUGUUGUACUCAGACAAUCUGAGCACAAGCUCAACGAUUGAGCUUUUCUCCCUUAGUUUGCAGGCUAAGAAACUCGUCAGAGGUCUUAUACCUCUUGACGUGGGCACGAGCCUGAAAUCCCAAUUUCAGCCCUCGAAACAUCUCAUAUGUUCCGCGACAUUUCGAAAUCGUCUUCGGUGCCUCAAUUCUAAACCGUUUAACAUUAUUGAACUAUCACGUAGUUAUCAAAACGUGUAUGUCAGAUGUUCGCAACAUCCACAGACGACGUUCGAGGUUCAGCACACCGAGCGGUGCAUUAAGGACAUAAGCCUUCUACGUAGCAAUGAGGACAAUCCUCAGUAUACGGACCCAGUCCGCAUAAUUGCUACUAUCAAGUUUCAACUAAAUUUUCUCUAGGAACAUAUCUAAAACAGUAGAACUAAAGCGCGAGCUACGACAUAAUUUGCAAAAACCUUUUGACUAUGUUCAGGAUAAUUAAGUUCAUCUUAUGAACUCCCACUCAGAUAGACAUCCAUCUAGUUAUCUAAGUGAUUACAUGAUCCGAGUCAACUAGGCCGUGUCCGAUCAUCAUGUGAGACGGACUAGUCAUCAUCGGUGAACAUCUUCAUGUUGAUCGUAUCUACCAUACGACUCAUGCUCAACCUUUCGGUCUCUUAUGUUCCGAGGCCAUGUCUGUACAUGCUAGGCUCGUCAAGUCAACCUAAGUGUUUCGCGCGUGUAAAUCUGGCUUACACCCGUUGUAUGUGAACUUACAAUCUAUCGCACCCGGUCAUCACGUGGUGCUUCGAAACAACGAACUUCCGCAACGGUGCACAGUUAGGGGGAACACAUUGUUGAAAUUUUAAUGAGGGAUCAUCUUAUUUACUACCGUCGUUCUAAGCAAAUAAGAUGCAUAAACAUGAUAAACAUCACACGCAAUCAAAUAGUGACAUGAUAUGGCCAAUAUUAUUUUGCUCCUUUUGAUCUCCAUCUUCGGGGCUCCAUGAUCAUCAUCGUCACCGGCAUGACACCAUGAUCUCCAUCAUCAUGAUCUCCAUCAUCGUGUCUCCAUGAAGUUGUCUCACCAACUUAUUACUUCUACUACUAUGGCUAACGGUUAGCAAUAAAGUAAAGUAAUUACAUCGCAUUGUUCAAUGACACGCAGGUCAUACAAUAAAUUAAGACAACUCCUAUGGCUCCUGCCGGUUGUCAUACUCAUCGACAUGCAAGUCGUGAUUCCUGUUACAAGAAUAUGAUCAAUCUCAUACAUCACAUAUAUUUCACUCAUCACGUCCUUUUUGGCCAUAUCACAUCACGCGGCAUAUGCUUCAAAAACAAGUUAGACGUCCUCUAAUUUGUUGUUGCAAGUUUUUACGUGGCUGCUAUAGGUUUCUAGCAAGAACGUUUCUUACCUACGCCAAAACAACAAUGUGAUAUGCCACUUGCUAUUUACCCUUCAUAAGGACCCUUUUCAUCGAAUCCGAUCCGACUAAAGUGGGAGAGACUGACACCCGCUAGCCACCAUAUGCAACAAGUGCAUGUCAGUCGGUGGAACCUGUCUCACGAAAGUGUAUGUGUAAGGUCGGUUCGGGCCGCUUCAUCCCACAAUACCGUCGAAACAAGAUAGGACUAGUAACGGUAAGCAUAUUGAACAAAAUCAACGCCCACAACAACUUGUGUUCUACUCGUGCAUAGAAUCUACACAAUAGACCUAGCUCAUGAUGCCACUGUUGGGGAACGUAGCAGAAAUUCAAAUUUUUCUACGCAUCACCAAGAUCAAUCUAUGGAGUAAUCUAGCAACGAGGGGAAGGGGAGUGCAUCUACAUACCCUUGUAGAUCGCUAAGCGGAAGCGUUGCAAGAACGCGGAUGAAGGAGUCGUACUCGUAGCGAUUCAGAUCGCGGUUGAUUCCGAUCUAAGCGCCGAAUAACGGCGCCUCCGCGUUCAACACACGUGCAGCCCGAUGACGUCUCCCAUGCCUUGAUCCAGCAAGGGGAGAGGGAGAGGUUGGGGAAGACUCCGUCCAGCAGCAGCACGACGGCGUGGUGGUGGUGGAGGAGCGUGGCACUCCAGCAGGGCUUCGCCAAGCACUGUGAGAGACGAGGAGGGAGAGGUAGGGCUGCGCCUUGGAGAGAACAACUCAUAUGUUGGGCAGCCCCUAGACCUCAACUAUAUAUAGGGGGGAGGAAGGGGGUUGCGCCCCCUCUAGGGUUCCCACCCCAAGGGGUGUGGCAGCCCCUAGAUCCCAUCUAGGGUGGUGGCCAAAGGGGGAGAGGGGGAGGCGCACCUCGGGUGGGCCUUAGGACCCAUCUGCCCUAGGGUUUGCCCCCUCUUCUCUUGAGGAGCCUUGGGCCUUGGUGGGGGGCGCCCCAACCUACCUAGGGGCUGGUCCCUUCCCACUAUUGGGCCACGCAAGCCUCUGGGGCUGGUGGCCCCUCCCGGUGGACCCCCGGACCCUUCCGGUGGUCCCGGUACAUUACCGGUGAUGCCCGGAACACUUCCAGUGACCAAAACCUCACUUCCUAUAUAUAAAUCUUUACCUCCGGACCAUUCCAGAACUCCUUGGGACGUCUGGGAUCUCAUCCGGGACUCCGAACAACAUUCAGUAACCACGUAUAUCUAUUCCCUAUAACCCUAGCAUCAUCGAACCUUAAGUGUGUACACCCUACGGGUUCGGGAACCAUGCAGACAUGACCGAGACAACUCUCCGGCCAAUACCAACAGCGGGAUCUGGAUACCCAUGUUGGCUCCCACAUGUUCCACGAUGAUCUCAUCGGAUGAACCACGAUGUCAAGGAUUCAAUCAAUCCCGUAUACAAUUCCCUUUGUCUACUGGUAUGAUACUUACCCGAGAUUCGAUCAUCGGUAUCCCGAUAGCUUGUUCAAUCUCGUUACUGGCAAGUCUCUUUACUCGUUCUGUAACACAUCAUCCCGUGAUCAACUCCUUGAUCACAUUGUGCACAUUAUGAUGAUGUCCUACCGAGUGGGCCCAGAGAUACCUCUCCGUCACACGGAGUGACAAAUCCCAGUCUCGAUUCGUGCCAACCCAACAGACACUUUCGGAGAUACCCGUAGUGCACCUUUAUAGCCACCCAGUUACGUUGUGACGUUUGGUACACCCAAAGUACUCCUACGGUAUCAGGGAGUUACACAAUCUCAUGGUCUAAGGAAAUGAUACUUGACAUUAAAAAAGCUUUAGCAUACAAACUACAUGAUCUUGUGCUAGGCUUAGGAUUGAGUCUUGUCCAUCACAUCAUUCUCCUAAUGAUGUGAUCCCGUUAUCAAUGACAUACAAUGCCCAUGGUCAGGAAACCAUGACCAUCUGUUGAUCAACGAGCUAGUCAACUAGAGGCUCACUAGGGACAUGUUGUGGUCUGUGUAUUCACACAUGUAUUGCGGUUUCCGGUCAAUACAAUUAUAGCAUGAAUAAUAGACAAUUAUCAUGAACAAGGAAAUACAAUAAUAACCAUUUUAUUAUUGCCUCUAGGGCAUAUUUCCAACACAUGCCACAACUGAUUUUGCCCGCUUCUUUCUCCACCUCAUUCUGCUACAUAACUCGUCCGCUUGAACUCCACGGAACUAGACGCAUAUGCAGCUGGCCUAUCCAUGCAAACUACUAACAAACUCAACAGGACACACUACUGACUUGCAUACACACACAUGAUCUCUUCUCUACGUGAGUACAUGCCCACAGCCAGGUAGGUUGGACGUGACAACAUGCAUGACACUGCUAAAUAAACAUGAUGAAAAC